CGCCCUUAGAGUUUGAUCAUGGCUCAGGACGAACGCUGGCGGCGCGCCUAACACAUGCAAGUCGAACGGAGGAAGCUUUCGGGUGGAUUAGUGGCGAACGGGUGAGUAACACGUGAAUAACCUACCCUAGAGUGGGGGACAACAUUUGGAAACAGAUGCUAAUACCGCAUAAGACCACGACCGCAUGGUCUGAGGCCAAAGGAGCAAUUCGCUCUGGGAUGGAUUCGCGUCCGAUUAGCUAGAUGGUGAGGUAAUGGCUCACCAUGGCAACGAUCGGUAGCCGGACUGAGAGGUCGAACGGCCACAUUGGGACUGAGACACGGCCCAGACUCCUACGGGAGGCAGCAGUGGGGAAUAUUGCACAAUGGAGGAAACUCUGAUGCAGCGACGCCGCGGGAGGGAAGAAGGUUUUCGGAU
rnacentral:rRNA from 1 species